AUUGAACGCUGGCGGCAGGCCUAACACAUGCAAGUCGAACGAGUGGCGGACGGGUGAGUUAUGUCUGGGAAACUGCCUGAUGGAGGGGGAAAACCUCGGGAAAGGGUCGAUAAUACCGCAUACUAUCAGAUGAGCCCAGAUGGGCUUAGCUUGUUGGUGGGGUAACGGCUCACCAAGGCGACGAUCCCUAGCGGGUCUGAGAGGAUGACCAGCCACACUGGAACUGAGACACGGUCCAGACUCCUACGGGAGGCAGCAGUGGGGAAUAUUGCACAAUGGGCGCAAGCCUGAUGCAGCCAUGCCGCGUGUAUGAAGAAGGCCUUCGGGUUGUAAAGUACUUUCAGCGGGGAGGCGUUACCCGCAGAAGAAGCACCGGCUAACUCCGUGCCAGCAGCCGCGGUAAUAC
rnacentral:rRNA from 1 species